CUGCUGUGUAUAGGUGCUGUCUCCUCGUAGCAUGAUCUUCCACAAUCUCGUUUAUCUGACACUGAAUACAUGUGUUCACGGUUGGUGGGAUCUUGUCACUCAUAUGCUCCAAGAUUCUCCCAAGCUAAGAUUUCUCAAACUCCAUGAUGUACGCUAACCACAUCGUGGUGGUCUACUGGUUUCCACUAGAAGAGGAGUUGCCCUGUUGGUCCAGGCCAGGGAUCGACUUCCCUCUAGUGCGAAAUUAUUAGUUCCACAUGUGGCCACGCGGAUAUGGGCUCAUGCUUACAGCCCAUUUGAAUACCCGGGAGAGGAUCCAUCCGUGGAUUGCACCUCCCACCCGGGGGUUAGGUCUGUGUCUUUAAUAGACCCGGGUUUAACCCCCUUUCCAUGAUGUACGCUUAUGUUGCUUAAUUAAAUAAUGUUUUUUUUGUUACAUCCUUAUGCAUCGGUCAAAUUUACUAAGAGCAUCAUUAUCGCGGGUGCUAAGCCCCGUCUCUUACGUUUUUUUUUUUAAAAAAAAAACCUUAAUAAUGCAAAAGACGUCGCUUAAUUAAGCGCUACAAGAGACGUCCCUUACGGUACACGCGUCCUAACGCGACAUCUCAGUCUCUCUCUCAUCUCUCUUUCUCGACUGAUUCGGUUUGAUUCCGAAACUUCCACCACCGGAAUCGCCGCCGUCUCAGUUGCUUCACCUCCUCCUCCGUUGACAAAUUGAAGAAAGUGGUAGAGGAAGGUAAUGCCUACGGAGCUUUGCAGAUGUACAAAUCCUUCAGUGCCAGGUUCCUUCAUUACCCAAUUCAUCAAGUAUCGAAAUACCUCUUUUUGACUCUGUUAAUCGGUUAAAGUUUGGAUCUUUGAUGUUGUUUCUUACUUUUGAAUAUGAGAUUAAAAGCAUUAGCCUUUUUUUUUGUUUGCUCGGCAGAUAUGUUACGGGAAGAGGAAAGAUCUGCAGAGAAGAAGAAUAGAAAGAACAAGGAGACAAAAUCAGAAACAAAAGAAGAGAAGAGAGCAGAGAAGGAUGAGAAGAUCUUGCCAGAGGAGAAGAACACAACUUCUGUUGCGCUUCCUUGCAUUGAUAAGCUUCGAGACGAGUUGUCUUGUGCAAUUUGUCUUGAGAUUUGUUAUGAACCAAGUACUACAACUUGUGGACACAGGUACAUCUUACUACACAACAAACACCACAGAGUUGUCAUUGUGCGGUGAAUUUGAAAUGGCAAAUACUGCACGGUUAAUACAGUUCUUUGGAACACAAUCCAGCUUAUGUUCCCUAAAGAAGUGGAAGCAUAGAGAGGUGCUGCUUCUGCUAAUUUCCUAACCAAGGAAACGCCAAGCCCUAGAGACUCUAAUCAGAAGGUAACAAGCAGGAACAGAGAUACGGCGUUUCAAGCUAGGUUGCAGAGAGACGAUAUAUCGAGGUUACUUGUGUCUGAAGAGAGAAGGAGGAGAGGCGUGAGGUUGGAUCAAGAUAGCGAUGCAGCGUUUGCGUUGCGGUUACAGCGGUAGGAAUUUGCGUCUGCCUUUGGCGGUUGCAGAGGGAUGCAUUGCCUCUUUUCAGUAUGCUAAGAGUAAAAUUUAAGUCUUGCAUAGAUAGAGAACCACUGCUUAACGAGACGCAGAUAACAAACUCAAAGUGGUGAAAACUCCAAAUGCUGUGAAUCCCCUUGUGCUUGGUUCUUUUGUAAGUUUUUCAAUCUAAGAACUUGAAUAUAGAGUUAGCAUGUACUAUGUUUUAAGAAAAAGUUUAAGUUAAUAAGAAAAAUCAAAAAAAUUUGGUGUUUAAUUAA